GGUAAAAUACCCGCUGAACUUAAGCAUAUCAAUAAGCGGAGGA
rnacentral:rRNA from 1 species